GGGAGGAGAUGUGUGGGAGGUUACCGGGACAAGAUUGGCUACUGUAUUAAUGAAUGGAAAUCCCUCCCUUGCAUGGGAGCAUGCUAUAUAAGGCACUGUGGAAUAAAGGUUGUCAGUUCUGCUCCUGAUGCUGUGUGUCAUCUGGUCAUUGGGAUUGCUGUGGGGAUACUAUUGGAUUAUUUUGCCUGCUGGAAACUUUGCCUGUGGAUUUAUA